rnacentral:rRNA from 1 species
AUGGCUAAGAUGCUUCGAGAGAAUUUUGGAGUUGAGUUACCUCGGAAUCGGAUUUACCAAAAGCCGUACCCCGAGUACUUUGAUGCCAUCCAGUGUCCUCCAGGAUAUAAAAUUCCAAAUUUUGUUAAGUUUAAUGGAGAGGGCACAAAAACCACAUGGGAGCAUGCUAGUCAAUACUUAGCACAAUUGGGUGAGGCAGGCUCACUGAAUGAGUUGAAAGUGCGUUUAUUUCCUUUGUCAUUAACUGGUACCGCAUUUUCAUGGUUUUCUUCUUUACCACAUGGUUCCAUUCGAGUUUGA